UCCAAAUUUGUCUUAUGGUGUCAC
rnacentral:snRNA from 1 species